UCAGUAGCGGCGAGUGAAGCGGCAAAAGCUCAAAUUUGAAAUCUGGCGUCUUUGGCGUCCGAGUUGUAAUUUGAAGAAGGUAUCUUUGGGCCCGGCUCUUGUCUAUGUUCCUUGGAACAGGACGUCACAGAGGGUGAGAAUCCCGUGCGAUGAGAUGACCCGGGUCUGUGUAAAGUUCCUUCGACGAGUCGAGUUGUUUGGGAAUGCAGCUCUAAGUGGGUGGUAAAUUCCAUCUAAAGCUAAAUAUUGGCGAGAGACCGAUAGCGAACAAGUACAGUGAUGGAAAGAUGAAAAGAACUUUGAAAAGAGAGUGAAAAAGUACGUGAAAUUGUUGAAAGGGAAGGGCUUGAGAUCAGACUUGGUAUUUUGCAUGCUGCUCUCUCGGGGGCGGCCGCUGCGGUUUACCGGGCCAGCAUCGGUUUGGAGCGGCAGGAUAAUGGCGGAGGAAUGUGGCACGGCUUCUGCUGUGUGUUAUAGCCUCUGACGAUGCUGCCAGCCUAGACCGAGGACUGCGGUUUUUACCCUAGGAGGUUGGCUUAAGGAUCUUAAGUCGCCCGCCUU
rnacentral:rRNA from 1 species